AAGCAAAGUAAAUCCUUUCCAUUUAUUUUUCCAAUUUAUUCUUAAAUUUUCUAUAAAAAUAUUUUUUUUCAAAACUUUCUGUAUUUGUAAUAAAAAAUGGCUGAUUACUUGGACAAUGAAGCGGAGGAAAGUGAGGAGGAGGAGGAACUGGAUAUAAACGAAAGGAAAAAACUUAAAAAAUUGAAAGCAAUGCAUGACAGUGACGAGGAAGACGAUGACGAAGAUGAGGGAGAAGUCCCAGGUCUUAUUGAUGAUAAUCCAAUUGAGGAUGAUAAUGAUGGUGAAGAUAGCGAUGGAUCAGAAAGGUCUGGAAAACGGAAGAAAAGUGAUGAUGAAGAUUUUGAUGAUCGUUUGGAAGAUGAAGACUAUGAUCUGUUAGAAGAAAAUUUAGGAGUCAAAGUUGAAAGGAAACGUCGUUUUAAGCGUUUACGUAGGAUACAAGAUGAAGAAUCAGAAGAGGAGGAAGACAGGGAGGCAGGUGACGAAAGAGAUGCAAUUGCUAAUGAACUAUUUACAGGCUCUGGAGAAGAAGAUGAGGCAAGAAGUGAAGUUAGUCAUAGACCUGAAGUGGAAGCAUUUGACGAAGAAGAGAGUGAAGAUGAAGAUGACUUUAUUGUAGAUGGUGAUGGAGUACCUAUAGCUGAAAAAAGAAAGAAAAGGAAACCAAUUUUCACAGAUGCGGCCUUACAAGAAGCUCAAGAUAUUUUUGGUAUCGAUUUUGAUUAUGAUGAGUUUGAAAAAUAUGGAGAAGAUGAGUUUGAAGAAGAAGAAGAGGAUGAUGAUCUUGAAUAUCUUCAUGAGUCGGGAGAAGAUCGACCUAGACGAUCGAAGAAGCUUCUUAAGAAAAAAAGCACGAAGAAAAGCAUUUUCGAAGUGUAUGAACCUAGUGAACUUAUUCGUGGACAUUUCACGGAUAUUGAUAAUGAGAUCCGCACUACAGACAUUCCUGAACGUAUGCAACUUCGUACUGUACCAAUUACACCAACAGCCGAAGGUUCUGAUGAGUUAGACCUUGAGGCAGAAUGGAUAUACAAACAGGCAUUCUGUCAACCCACGAUUUCAGUACAAGAUGCUCAUUUAAAUGAAGAAGCCAAAGAAAGAGCUAAAAAGGGUCCACAAACAGUCGGCAAAAUUAAAAAAGCUUUAGAUUUUAUGCGCAAUCAAAACUUUGAAGUUCCUUUCAUCUCGUUUUAUAGGAAAGAGUAUGUCCUGCCGGAAUUGAAUAUUAACGAUUUAUGGAAAAUAUACAAAUUCGACGCAAAAUGGUGUCAGCUUAAACAAAGGAAGGAAAAUUUAUUGAAAUUGUUUGACAAAAUGAGAAACUACCAAUUGGACGAGAUCAUGAAAAAUCCUGAUGCUCCGUUGCCCGAAAAUGUACGGAUUAUUAAAGAUGAGGACAUCGAGCGCCUUAGAAAUGCUCAGACUUUCGAAGAAUUGAAUGAUAUUUAUCGACACUUUAUGCUUUACUAUAGUCAGGAUGUGUCGGCGAUGCAAGAACAUACACGUAAAAAGGAAAAAGAAGAUCGGAAAAAAACUAGGCUUGAAAAAAGGAGGCAGCAAAUUGCGGAAGCUGAAGAAAAUGGGGAAGAACCUCCUGAAGAGCUUGUUGCUGCGGAAGAUGACGAUGAAGAGGCAGAUGAUACAUUAAAACAGCCAGUUAGGAAAGGCCCUUAUUUUAUAUGUAAGAAGGCUGGUUUGGAUAGUCUUGCUAAAAAGUUCGGUCUCUCUCCAGAACAUUUUGCCGAGAAUCUUAGAGAUAAUUACCAACGUCACGAAGUAGAUCAAGAACCACUAGAACCUACAGUAGUAGCAAAUGAAUUUUGUUCAACGACCUUUAAGACGAACGAUGAUGUGCUUAAUGCUGUACAAUUAAUGGUCGCGAUUCAAUUAGCACAUGAACCAUUGGUACGUAAGUGUGUUAGAGAAAUGUACAUGGAAAGAGCCAAAAUAUCCGUAAUACCAACUAAAAAAGGAAUAAAAGAAAUUGAUGAAAAUCAUGUACUUUAUGGAGUGAAAUACCUUAAAGAUAAGCCUGUACGAGAUCUCGUUGGUGAUCAAUUUUUAAAAUUAUUUAUAGCGGAACAGGACAAAUUGAUCACUAUUUCCUUUAGUGACAUUAUAGAAGGAAAUACUACUAACAACUACAUCGAUGAGAUAAAACAAUUGUAUUACAGAGAUGAAUUUAGUAAGAGUGUUCAAGAUUGGAACGCUCUAAGAACUGGUAGUGUUGAAGCGGCUUUAAAUCGUAUUAUUAUACCACAGUUGAAAAAAGAAUUACGAUCUAAUCUUUUAACAGAGUCAAAAGAAUGCGUCAUGAAGGCCUGUUGUCGUAAAAUGUAUAAUUGGAUUAAAAUUGCUCCGUAUACUUGUGAAUUCCCUGAAGAAGACGACGAAGAUUGGAAUACUAGUAGAGGAAUUCGCGUAAUGGGUUUGGCUUAUGUACCUGAUACAUCUCAAUCCGCUUUUGCGUGUGUAGUUUCUCCAGAAGGAGAAUGUACAGAUUACCUGAGGUUACCGCAUUUAAUGAAACGCAAGAACAGUUUUAAGGAAAAUGAAAAGAUGAUGAAGGAAGCUGAUUUGUUAGCGAUUAGGAAUUUCAUCGCUACAAAAAAGCCGCACGUUGUGGUGAUAGGUGGUGAAUCUAGAGAAGCAUUAAUGAUAGCGGCUGAUGUGAAAGAAUGUAUUACUAAUCUAGCAGAAGAUGAACAAUUCCCUACGAUUCAAGUAGAGAUAGUAGAUAAUGAGCUUGCGAAAGUUUACGCAAAUAGCAAUAGAGGUGUCUCUGAAUUCAGAGAUUAUCCAGAUUUGUUGAGGCAAGCUGUGUCUUUAGCAAGAAGAUUACAAGAUCCUUUGUUAGAGUUUUCACAAUUAUGUACUAUAGAUGAAGAAAUUAUGUGCCUUAAAUAUCAUCCUUUACAAGAUCAACUUCCUAAAGAGGAUCUUAUAGAGAAUAUUUAUUUAGAAUUUAUAAAUCGUAUAAACGAAGUGGGGGUAGAUUUGAAUAGAGCAGUACAACAGCCUUACACGGCAAAUUUAGUACAAUUUGUGUGCGGUUUGGGUCCUAGGAAAGGGCAAGCUUUGAUUAAGAUCUUGAAACAGACCAAUCAAAGACUAGAAAAUAGGACGCAGCUUAUUACAGCGUGUCACAUGGGACCGAAAGUUUUCGUCAAUUGUGCUGGAUUUAUUAAAAUAGAUACAAAUAGUUUAGGGGACAGCACAGAGGCAUAUGUGGAAGUGUUAGAUGGAUCCCGUGUGCAUCCAGAAACUUACGAAUGGGCAAGAAAAAUGGCAGUAGAUGCUUUAGAAUACGAUGACGAGGACGCAAAUCCUGCUGGUGCUCUAGAAGAAAUCCUUGAAUCACCAGAAAGAUUGAAGGAUCUGGAUCUAGAUGCAUUUGCAGAAGAGCUUGAGAGGCAGGGUUUUGGAAACAAGUGUAUUACUCUUUAUGAUAUAAGAGCUGAACUGAAUUCUAGAUAUAAAGAUCUUCGAGUACCUUAUCAAUCUCUAAGUGCUGAAAAACUGUUUGAUAUUCUUACAAAAGAGACUCCAGAAACAUUUUACGUUGGCAAAUUAGUCCUGGCAACGGUCGUUGGAAUAACUCACAGAAAACCACAAGGAGAUCAACUGGAUCAAGCAAAUCCUGUUAGAAACGACGAGACUGGUUUAUGGCAAUGUCCGUUCUGUUUGAAAAAUGAUUUUCCCGAAUUGUCCGAAGUAUGGAACCACUUUGAUGCUGGUGCAUGUCCAGGAAAAGCAACAGGAGUUCGCUUGAGAUUAGAUAAUGGGAUAUCUGGUUACAUUCAUGUGAAAAAUUUGUCGGAUAAACAUGUUGCUAAUCCAGAGGAGAGAGUGCGCGUUGGUCAAGUAAUUCAUUGCCGCAUAAUAAAAAUAGAAGUGGAAAGAUUCAGUAUUGAAUGUACUAGUAAAUCAAGCGAUCUUCUUGAUAAAAACCAUGAAUGGCGACCACAAAGGGACGUUUAUUAUGAUACAGAGGCAGAGGAAAGAGAUUUGAAAGUGGAAGAAGAUGCUAAAAAGGUACAGCAAAGGCAGACCUAUGUGAAACGUGUCAUAAUUCAUCCCAGUUUUCAUAACAUAAGCUUUGCUGAAGUUGAAAAAUUAAUGCAAACCGUGAAACAAGGAGAGGCGAUCAUAAGACCAAGCAGUAAAGGAUCUGAUCAUUUGACAGUAACGUGGAAAGUUACUGACAAUAUUUACCAACACAUUGAUGUAAGAGAGGAAGGCAAGGAAAACACAUUCUCCUUGGGUCGUAGUUUAUGGAUUGGCAGUGAAGAAUUUGAAGAUUUAGACGAAAUUAUUGCAAGGCACAUCAAUCCAAUGUCUGCAUAUGUUUCGGAACUUUUAGAUUUUAAAUAUUAUAAAUCAAAUGUCGAGGGUAUCAAGGAUAAAGCAGAAGAAAUUUUAAAAGAACAGAAAAAACAAAAUCCUGGUGGAAUACCAUAUAUUGUAUCUGCUGCUAAGAAUUAUCCUGGAAAAUUCAUGCUUUCGUACUUACCACGAACUCGUUGUCGUCAUGAGUAUGUAACCAUAACACCGGAUGGAUUUCGAUUUAGAGGUCAAAUGUUUAGUAGAGUAAACGAUUUAUUCCGUUGGUUCAAGGAACAUUUCAGAGAUCCUAUACCUGGGCAAAGUACACCGGGUACUCCACAUGGAGCUAUGACUACCAGAACACCGUAUAAUGGUACUCCAGGAGUUAAUGGAGUAAAUUCGGACGCGAUACAAAGGGUGGCACAAAACAUGCCACAUCAUAUGCUGCACUCCCUUUCUAAAGUAGCGAAUCAGACACCACACCAUUAUCCACCAUAUACUCCAGGAGCUGCCAGUGUCACUAAUUACGGAUUGUAUGGGAGUACACCUUAUACACCUUCUGGACAAACUCCAUUUAUGACUCCUUAUCAUACUCCACACCAUACACCUCACCAUCCGCAAACGCCCAGUCAUUCCCAAGGACCGUUUUUGCAACCAAUUCCUCCUGCCAUGAAUGCAAAUUCCCACAGAACUGUCAGAUCUCAUAGAGCUGUCUCUUCUACCGAUGAUGCAACGAAUUGGUCAAAAGCUGCAGAGGCAUGGGCACGUUCAAAGCAAUCCACUUCUAAAGAAUUCAAUAUUACUUCAAGAUAUGAUGAAUCUAGAAAAACACCAAGAACUCUGGAAGUCUCUAACGAAAGAGCGACUCCACGUAACAGAACCCCUUCUGCUCGUACACCGUCGUACAAAUCUCCUAGAGGAACUCCGUUCACGAAUUCUAGUCCUCGUAGUAUGUCUCUUAGCGGAGAUGGUACACCUUUAUACGAUGAAAGUUGAGGCAAUAAUAUGAUCUGCGUUUAGUUAGGACAAUUGGUUACCUGAAACUAUAUUAUAUUUUAUAUGCAAAGAGGAAGGAUAAGUAAACUGAAACAGUUGCAAAUGAUUUUUAUUUUUAUCAGUGAAUUAUUCUCUACAGCAUUAAGUAUUUAUUAAAUGUCCAGGAUUCUUUUCUCACUAUACAUAAUAUUUAGAAUAUUCUACCUCAAUGAAUUUUCAUUUUCAAACAAUAAUAAUACACUUAUAUAUAUAUAUAUGUGUGUUUGCUCAAUAUAACAUAACUAUCAUUUAGUUCUAUAAAUCAUGACAAUGAAGAUGAGAACGCUGCCCUAUUCAAGAAAUAUAUACAUAUAAGUUGUAUUUGUACAAUAAUCAAUUUGAUACAAAUGUAUUACUAUAAGCAUAUGCAAUUUUGACGUAUAUAUUUUACUAUGGGAAAUUAGUAAUAUUAAAAAUAUAAUAAGUAAAACGUCUUCUUCUUUAACCAUUAUUGCUUCAAAAAGUUUACUUAAAACAAUGUAUUAAUUCAUUUAGUUUCAAAAGUUCUUAGCAAGUAUUAUAUUUUACUGUUUUCGUAUUAAAAUAUGUAGACAGGUAUAAAUGUUUUGUUACAUUAGUUUGACCAUUACAGUAAAUAAUAUCAGUAUGUAGUUUAAUUUGGAAACCUAAUCGGCAAACGUUAGGUAAACAAAAUUGUAUAAUUUGGAAUAGUUAGCGACGAUGAAAUUAGGGACAAUUAGUUGAAGUAUAAACGAAUACAUAGUGUCUUGGAAAAGCAUCGAAACCAGUUAUAACGACUCGACCAUAUUUGGAAUACAUUUUUAUAUUCUUAUGGUCGCACAACGGUCACAACUUCCCACACGUUGGUACGCACGUUACCGGAGAUGCAGACACAUGAUUCAUCCAGAAUGAAUCUUUUUUAAAUGGUGUGACCGUGUGGUAGUCAAAAAUACGCACAUGUAUAUUGUAACAAAGCGUCUGCUAUUGUAACAUAUAUAAUGUAGCCAUUUAUUACAAGUUAUUAUAUUUGUAAAAAUUGUGUAAAAUAUAUCAUGAUGAUUAUAAA
rnacentral:misc_RNA from 1 species